rnacentral:rRNA from 1 species
GAUGAACGCUGGCGUCGUGCCUAAUACAUGCAAGUCGAGCGAACGGACGAGAAGCUUGCUUCUCUGAUGUUAGCGGCGGACGGGUGAGUAACACGUGGAUAACCUACCUAUAAGACUGGGAUAACUUCGGGAAACCGGAGCUAAUACCGGAUAAUAUUUUGAACCGCAUGGUUCAAAAGUGAAAGACGGUCUUGCUGUCACUUAUAGAUGGAUCCGCGCUGCAUUAUCUAGUUGGUAAGGUAACGGCUUACCAAGGCAACGAUGCAUAGCCGACCUGAGAGGGUGAUCGGCCACACUGGAACUGAGACACGGUCCAGACUCCUACGGGAGGCAGCAGUAGGGAAUCUUCCGCAAUGGGCGAAAGCCUGACGGAGCAACGCCGCGUGAGUGAUGAAGGUCUUCGGAUCGUAAAACUCUGUUAUUAGGGAAGAACAUAUGUGUAAGUAACUGUGCACAUCUUGACGGUACCUAAUCAGAAAGCCACGGCUAACUACGUG